rnacentral:rRNA from 1 species
GAUGAACGCUGGCGGCGUGCCUAAUACAUGCAAGUCGAGCGACCAGACGAUGAGCUUGCUCCUCUGACGUUAGCGGCGGACGGGUGAGUAACACGUGGAUAACAUACUUCUUAGUCUGGGAUAACUUCGGGAAACAGCAGCUAAUACUGGCUAAUAUAUUGAACCGCAUGGUUCAAUAGUUAAAGACGGUUUUGCUGUCACUUUUAGAUGGAUCCGCGCCGCAUUAGCUAGUUGGUAAGGUAACGGCCUACCAAGGCAACGAUGCGUAGCCGACCUGAGAGGAUGAUCAGCCACACUGGAACUGAGACACGGUCCAGACUCCUACGGGAGGCAGCAGUAGGGAAUAUUGCGCAAUGGGCGAAAGCCUGACGCAGCAACACCGCGUGAGUGAUGAAGGUCUUCGGAUCGUAAAGCUCUGUUAUUAGGGAAGAACAGAUGUAUAUGAAACUAUGCACGUCUUGACGGUACCUAAACAGAAAGCCACGGCUAACUACGUG